CAGACGAGUGAGUAACACGUGGGCAACCUACCGUAGAGUGGGGGAUAACUAACCGAAAGGUUAGCUAAUACCGCAUGAAACGUGCUGUGGCAUCACAGAACGUUAAAAGGAGCAAUCCGCUUUAUGACGGGCCCGCGUCCGAUUAGCUAGUUGGUGGGGUAACGGCCUACCAAGGCUCCGAUCGGUAGCUGGUUUGAGAGAGCGACCAGCCACACUGGGACUGAGAAACGGCCCAG
rnacentral:rRNA from 1 species